UACGUAGGGUGCGAGCGUUUGUCCGGAAUUAUUGGGCGUAAAGGGCUCGUAGGCGGUCUGUUGCGUCGGGAGUGAAAACUCAGGGCUUAACCCUGAGCCUGCUUCCGAUACGGGCAGACUAGAGGUAUGCAGGGGGAGAACGGAAUUCCUGGUGUAGCGGUGAAAUGCGCAGAUAUCAGGAGGAACACCGAUGGCGAAGGCAGGUCUCUGGGCCACUACUGACGCUGAGAAGCGAAAGCAUGGGGAGCGAACAGG
rnacentral:rRNA from 1 species